rnacentral:rRNA from 1 species
UACGGAAGGCAGCAGUGGGGAAUAUUGCACAAUGGGCGCAAGCCUGAUGCAGCCAUGCCGCGUGUAUGAAGAAGGCCUUCGGGUUGUAAAGUACUUUCAGUCGUGAGGAAGGUGUUAAGGUUAAUAACCUUAGCAAUUGACGUUAGCGACAGAAGAAGCACCGGCUAACUCCGUGCCAGCAGCCGCGGUAAUACGGAGGGUGCGAGCGUUAAUCGGAAUUACUGGGCGUAAAGGGCACGCAGGCGGUUAAUUAAGUUGGAUGUGAAAUCCCCGGGCUUAACCUGGGAAUGGCAUUCAAGACUGGUUAGCUAGAGUCUUGUAGAGGGGGUAGAAUUCCAUGUGUAGCGGUGAAAUGCGUAGAGAUGUGGAGGAAUACCGGUGGCGAAGGCGGCCCCUGGACAAAGCUGACGCUCA